rnacentral:rRNA from 1 species
CGUAGGGUGCGAGCGUUGUCCGGAAUUAUUGGGCGUAAAGAGCUCGUAGGCGGUGUGUCACGUCGGCCGUGAAAACCUGGGGCUCAACUCUGGGCGUGCGGUCGAUACGGGCAUCACUUGAGUUCGGCAGGGGAGACUGGAAUUCCUGGUGUAGCGGUGAAAUGCGCAGAUAUCAGGAGGAACACCGGUGGCGAAGGCGGGUCUCUGGGCCGAUACUGACGCUGAGGAGCGAAAGCAUGGGAGCGAACAGGAUU